rnacentral:lncRNA from 1 species
AUGGAGAUGGACAAGCACAGCAGGUGCUGCACAGGAUUGGCGGCUGCUGGAGGCAACAAUUCAGCCGUGUGUGGAUGGAGCCAUCACUGGGGAAGCCGCUCCACGGCCCCGCCGAGGGCAGGUAGGGCUCAAGUGGAUGCCGAGCGGGGCGAGCUCGGCUUGGUCCGUGACGUCUUGGGAAAAGGCUGCGGGAACAGAGCUCCCACGCCGGGGGCAGCUCCAGCUGUGUCUCCCCGCCUGGGGCGCUGUCCCGGCACAGAGAGGGAAGGAAGCCAGGCAGGCAGGAAGGAAGGAAGGCAGGCAGGAAGGAAGCCAGGCAGGCAGCGCCCGCCCUCUGUCAGGGCGCCCCGGACCGAGGCCUGCGCGCCGUGGGAAAUGGCGGCGCCGGGAGGGGGGCGCUUAUGGCGGUGGGGCCGCGGCCCCGCUCCUCCCGCGGCGGGCUGGGGGCCCGGGGGCGGCCGGCCGGCAGCGAGAGAGCGGCGGAGUUCGGGCACGGCAAGGCCCCGUCGCUGUGCGGCCGGAGCGGCUCCCGUGCGGUGGCGCCGAGGCCCGGCCUGCCCGCGGCUGUGCCCCGUGUCCCGGGCAGGAGCUGCCGCCGUGAUGCGGUGCGAGCCCCGCGGGCAUCGCCGGCGCCGAGCCCGGGAAGAGGCGCCCCCGGGGCCCAGGCCCUUUGUUCCCGGCUCCAGCACUGGGUGAGGAGGGACACUGGACAUGCCUUCGAUUACGAUAGUUCUGUCACUGCUGUAGCUGUCCUGUGCCGUGCCUGGUGAUGACCAUGGGGUCAUUCUCCUGAGCAGACUGCUCUGUACUCAGCCACCUGGCCAGCAUUCUCCAGUAGAUUCACCAAGCUGGCAGCAUAACGACAGAGCUGUUUGGUACCUGUGGAGUUCCACUGCAAGGGUGUCUGAGCACCUCACUUUUGACUCAGAAAAUCUGCCCUUGCACAGUCCAGCAAGAUGGUUCUGAAGUCCUGGGGACUUGCCAGUUCAGUUCACUGGUUGGAAAGUAUUUUGCCAGGUUACAGCUAUGGCUUAAACACUUGAGGUGAAAGCUGGUGGUGGGGUGUGGAACCAUGGGUUCACCAGCAGCCUUUGUGCAUUAGAGGCUCUCUUUGGAGGUUCAGAUGUCCUCAUACCUCUGCUCUGAUACCUGUGUGUUAUACUCUUUCAGGUAUCUACUUGGAAAUAAGAGUGGGGCUCUCAUUUUUUGGCUGAUAGGGAUAAAACAUGUUGCAGUGGGUAUAAGUUGGAGCCAAAGUCAAGGAGUAUAUUUUUAAGCAAAGAAUGGUGCUUUCUCACCACUUCAAUCCCCAUCACAGAAGCUGUACCCUAGAACUGCUGUUCCCUGGGAUGGCCAUGCCAGCAUCAGCAGGGCACACAUGGCCACAAGCUGUUCUGCCCACUGGCAGAUAAAGCAACUUAAAGUCUCUGGCCUGCUUACAGCACAAAGUGACCAAAACAACUUCUUCUGCCCUGAAAAUAUCUUAAUUCCUGGUAGGUUAAGAAAUGACCCUGUGCUGGUAUAGCUCAGUGUUGCUAAAUGCAUCUUCUGAGGCUUUUGAAACAGAUACCCAAGAGCAGAUGGUACUAAUCACUGCUGUAGUGGCAUACUCAGCUCCUGUUUUUGUGGUUUCUAAAGGCCUGUUUUGGCAAGACUUUUUUUUUAAGCUAUUUGGGAAAGAACAUACAAGCUUUUGACACACAGUUCUAUGUAAAAUCUCUUUAGUUUUGCCAAUGGUGUUUAUUUACAGAGACCCUGCAUAUUGUAGAGGCCACUGCUUGUUCCUGGUGAUUCCCUAGAAUGGAAACUUGAACCAAUGAUUUUUGUAAAUGAAUACGCAAUAAAUCUGUGGAAAAGCUUCUCUCUUAAUGACUC